rnacentral:rRNA from 1 species
GAUGAACGCUGGCGGCGUGCCUAAUACAUGCAAGUCGAGCGAACGGACGAGAAGCUUGCUUUUCUGAUGUUAGCGGCGGACGGGUGAGUAACACGUGGAUAACCUACCUAUAAGACUGGGAUAACUUCGGGAAGCCGGAGCUAAUACCGGAUAAUAUUUUGAACCGCAUGGUUCAAAAGUGAAAGACGGUCUUGCUGUCACUUAUAGAUGGAUCCGCGCUGCAUUAGCUAGUUGGUAAGGUAACGGCUUACCAAGGCAACGAUGCAUAGCCGACCUGAGAGGGUGAUCGGCCACACUGGAACUGAGACACGGUCCAGACUCCUACGGGAGGCAGCAGUAGGGAAUCUUCCGCAAUGGGCGAAAGCCUGACGGAGCAACGCCGCGUGAGUGAUGAAGGUCUUCGGAUCGUAAAACUCUGUUAUUAGGGAAGAACAUAUGUGUAAGUAACUGUGCACAUCUUGACGGUACCUAAUCAGAAAGCCACGGCUAACUACG